rnacentral:tRNA from 1 species
GUCGGUUUGACCAAGUGGUCUAAGGUGCCAGAUUUAGGCUCUAGUCCGAAAGGGCGUGGGUUCAAAUCUCACAGCCGUCA